CUAAGUUCUUCCUUCAGACUAGGCUGGGCACAUAAAGAUUUAGGAAGUCAGUUGGCCUUUAGAAGUCAAGAGCGAAUGAAUGCCUUCUUCUACUAACUUCGCCCCAGGAGAAUCCAUUUGCAAACAACUCUCUCCGGGGGUCACUUUCUGCCACCACAUUUUAGGAAGAAACAAAAGGAAGGACAAGAGCUCAGCUAAACCUUGCUUGUUGUUUUGCUUCACACAAAAACCGGGGUCUUGAAUUUCAGCCGCAAUUAUCCUGAUAAGGAGGUAAUUAUAUUCUUUUCAAAAAAACAAAAGCAGUAUUAUAUUUUGAAUGACUACUCCAACUAGCUCUUUAAAAAAUGAGAACAUGGAGGAAGAAAAGAGAAAAUGCCAAUGCAAAUGGAAGGCUAUUAAAAUGCAAGUCAGGUUUGCCAUUCUAGCCUAAAUUUUAUUUUCUUG
rnacentral:lncRNA from 11 species